CCUACGGGAGGCAGCAGUGGGGAAUAUUGGACAAUGGGCGAAAGCCUGAUCCAGCCAUGCCGCGUGUGUGAAGAAGGUCUUCGGAUUGUAAAGCACUUUAAGUUGGGAGGAAGGGUUGUAGAUUAAUACUCUGCAAUUUUGACGUUACCGACAGAAUAAGCACCGGCUAACUCUGUG
rnacentral:rRNA from 1 species